UACGAAGGGGGCUAGCGUUGCUCGGAAUCACUGGGCGUAAAGCGCACGUAGGCGGAUCGCUAAGUCAGGGGUGAAAUCCUGGAGCUCAACUCCAGAACUGCCUUUGAUACUGGCAAUCUCGAGUCCGGGAGAGGUGAGUGGAACUGCGAGUGUAGAGGUGAAAUUCGUAGAUAUUCGCAAGAACACCAGUGGCGAAGGCGGCUCACUGGCCCGGUACUGACGCUGAGGUGCGAAAGCGUGGGGGAGCAAACAGG
rnacentral:rRNA from 1 species